GUGAGUCAUCGAAUCUUUGAACGCACAUUGCGCUCUCUGGUAUUCCGGGGAGCAUGCUCGUUUCAGAAUCAUUAAAAUUCUCAAAGAUACAGUUUUUGUUUCUACAAUGCUGGACCUUUUGGAUGUGAGCCGUUUUGUUGUAUGACAAUGGCUUGAAAAUGAUUGUGUUUGCACCAGCUAUAUGGCUCGGUUCUUAACAAGUGCAACAGAUGUUAACUCAUUCGUUAUCUCUUGAAGAGGAUCGUUUUCACAUACUGGUAGAUACACUCAAAACCAAAAACUUUCGUUGAUCCUUGGGUC
rnacentral:misc_RNA from 1 species